GUAACCUGCCCUUGACUCUGGGAUAAGCCUGGGAAACCGGGUCUAAUACUGGAUACGACGUCCUGCCGCAUGGUGGGGCGUGGAAAGGGUUUUACUGGUUUUGGAUGGGCUCACGGCCUAUCAGCUUGUUGGUGGGGUAAUGGCCUACCAAGGCGACGACGGGUAGCCGGCCUGAGAGGGUGACCGGCCACACUGGGACUGAGACACGGCCCAGACUCCUACGGGAGGCAGCAGUGGGGAAUAUUGCACAAUGGGCGGAAGCCUGAUGCAGCGACGCCGCGUGAGGGAUGACGGCCUUCGGGUUGUAAACCUCUUUCAGCAGGGAAGAAGCCACAAGUGACGGUACCUGCAGAAGAAGCGCCGGCUAACUACGUGCCAGCAGCCGCGGUAAUACGUAGGGCGCAAGCGUUGUCCGGAAUUAUUGGGCGUAAAGAGCUCGUAGGCGGUUUGUCGCGUCUGCUGUGAAAGCCCGGGGCUCAACCCCGGGUCUGCAGUGGGUACGG
rnacentral:rRNA from 1 species